UACGUAGGGUGCAAGCGUUUGUCCGGAAUUAUUGGGCGUAAAGAGCUCGUAGGCGGUCUGUCGCGUCGGCUGUGAAAUCCCGGAGCUCAACUCCGGGUCUGCAGUCGAUACGGGCAAACUGGAGUACUGCAGGGGAGACUGGAAAUUCCUGGUGUAGCGGUGAAAUGCGCAGAUAUCAGGAGGAACACCGGUGGCGAAGGCGGGUCUCUGGGCAGUAACUGACGCUGAGGAGCGAAAACGUGGGGAGCGAACAGG
rnacentral:rRNA from 1 species